rnacentral:piRNA from 1 species
CACACGGUCCUGCUUCCUGUCACUUUGUUC